rnacentral:lncRNA from 1 species
GCUGCUAUAUGGUUUCUGAGAUAACAAAAGGUUGACUAUUAAGUUAGGUAUUGUAUCUCCAACACAUUUGAAAUGAUAGAUCAAAAAAGACUUUGAAUUUUGAAGUUCCGAAAUGGAUUUAUAUGUCAUUAUUUAUUGUAGAGAAACUAGAAACUAUUGUUUUACGAAGGGGAAGAGCUUGUAAAUAAGUUGGCAAAGUUGGAAAGGGAUGUCAAAGAAUGAGAAGGCGCAAGAAUUGACUCUGCGACAUUUUUAAAAACUGUAAGCUCUUGAACUCUUUUUGAUAAUUUUUAUCCUAAAUAGCAGUAGAUUUCUUAAUAUUUGUUUAGGGUACUUCAUUUUUGCAACUGGUUGUUGAAAUAAAUCUCUUAUAUCUCAACCGCUUGCUGAUUAUUUGAUUUUUAUGGCUCUCAUUGUUAAUAUUGUCUUUGUGAAUUAUGUUGUUCCUCUCUUUUAUAAUUGAAGAUAUUGAGAGUGGUAAUCAAACUUGUUAUAAAUUGUAUCUCACAAUCUUUUCUUUGAUCUCAUAUGAACAGUUCUCCUUUGCACUUUAUCGGGUGUGGUUCUCCUUGUAGAAAAUUGAUAUGUUUAUAACAUGUGACCGAUAAAAACAACUUUAGUACACUGGAUAGACAACAUGCAAAACUAUAAGUUACCUAUUAGAGAUACUGCUUCUCCUCCCUUCAAAUCUAUUGUCCGAAACUUUAAUUUUAUCCAAUUUCUAUUGUAUAACUAAAAAGAAUAUUUCAGGAAGUUCCUUCAAGUAUAAGAACACUCAGUUAUUACAAGUGUUAUUCGACAACUUUGAGUUAACAAUGCAUAAUACAUGUGCACAAAGGAUAUGGGAGUUUUCCUUGCUUAAUGUUUGAGUACAUUUUCUUUUUGAUACACGAGAAUGAAAUUCAAGCAUAAAUCUGAUUAUAAUCUAACAAACACUAUAUUAUUUUUGUUUUUCCAAAUCUAAAGGCAAUUCCUGCUAUGGGACUAUAAGAGUUGUAAACAUCUAUUUCACAAUUUUUCUUUGUUUCAUUUAGAAGAAAACUUUGAAUCUUUAGCACAUGAAAUUAGUAUUUAUGCGAUACUUGUAAUGUAACAAAAUAUGCUUCAAACUAUUCGGUGUAUGUCUAUACAAAAGGCUAUCAAUCACUUAAUGCUAUUAACUUUUUGUCCAUUAUCAUUGUGAGUUUCACCCACACAAGUGAAAUGCUUCAAUUUAAUGGUUAGUCUGAGGUAAAAUAUGUUUCUGACGUCUUGGUUGAAUUUAUAAUGCUUUUAAAAUAUUUUUUUCCACAGUACAAUUGUCUUUAAUGUAAAAUGUAGACAUGGUUAGCAUUUUGAGAUGAAACCUUUUUAUUUUGAUGUUGAUGCUAUAUACUUAUAUUCAUAGAAGACUUAUCAAUGAGAGACUUGAUUAUAUCUCAAAACUUCACACCUUUCUUGGCCAUGACUUCAAAAUUAUUGGAUAGAAGUGUUUUUUGGGCAUGCAGUGAUAAAAGAGAAGAAUAAACAUAAAGCUUGAUUUAGUGUCUUUACACAAAAAAGUAACACAUCUUUUAAUUCUAUAGUUAUAUUUCUAAAUCUUUUAAAAUGACUUGAUUUAACAUUUUAGUUUGUUUUCACAUAAUAAAAGAAAAUUUUGGAUAUCAAAAUUUGAUCUGACUUCAUGCUUGCCAUAAGAAAAUGUAGGCAAUAAUAAGUUAUAAGUAUUGAACAUUGUCUUGGGAUAGAAUGUUUGGUUACUCUACUAUACAACUACAUCAAUGAGUUUGUCUUUGAACACAAAUUUGAUGACCUUAUUUAACAAGAAAGUGAUGAGAUUAAGAGACUAUUUGAUUUAGCUAAGUGUUUGUUGAUAAUAAUAGCAGUUUGUAGUUAUAUUUAUAAAAAAAAACCGUAAAGCACAACUUUACCCUUGGUCAUUCCACUCUUCAUGUUUCUAUAUAGUAGAAAAGUCCUCUGUUAAACUUUACUAGCCUGUGCAAAUUCUAUACUUAUAAACUAAAUUUCUGAAAUAGUUUAUAUCCAUAUUUUUGAAAAAUAGUAACCUGACAUGAUACCUUAGUCACAGGGAUUAUCAGAGAGUUUCAUUUUAUUGUUGAGUUAGACAUAUCAUGUAAAUUACACUUCGACAAAGAUACUAUAAUCUUAUGUAGCCAUAUUCUUUUUAUUUGAUAAGUUGAAAGUCAUGUAAGUGAAUCUUUUCGUUGGAUCUAGAUAUGCGAGCUAUAUUUAUACUAUAUAGAACGAUGAGAUUAGUUACAUGUUUGUUAAAAGUUAAUAAUUUCAUAAUGAGGGCAUUUAGACUUAUACUACGUGUCUUUUUAGAUGCGCAGAGUAAGAAUGUAGAUAUGAGCUCUUUUGGAGUAUGAUGCGUCUGCUCGGCAUUUUAUAGAAACAAAAGGACUUUCACCAACUCUUGAUUUUUAAUGGAUAAUCUAGAAAAUUGUUGGAAGGUAAGAACUGUAGCUUUAGUAAAUAAAUCUUUUUUGUCCAUGUCUUAUUAUGUUUCUAAUAUUUGAAUCUUGUUUUGUGUUGGUGUCUUCACUGUUUCUUAUUUCUCUUCGAGUGUAUUUUUAUGAACUGAUUUUAUUUUCAAGUUUUUAUUCCUUCCAUGAAAUAUUAAAGUUGGAGUAAGUAGUUCGCGUUGAAUGAAAGAAAUUUUUCAGCUUAUCAAGACAACUGCAGCCACUUAAGGAUAUCAACUUCUAUUCUUUUGGAAUAUACAGAGAGCAUCUGCUCAAAUUUACUGGUAAUGAUUCGAGGCAUUAAUAGAUUUUAGAAAAUGAAUUUUGUCAUAUUUGAUGCGCUAUCAACUUCUAUUCUAAUGAGAAAUACAGGGAGCAUUUGCUCGAAGUUAUCAUUCGGAAAAUUUGAUGUUGUUUCUAAUAUACUCAGUCUGAUCCCACAAGUUGGGAAUGUGGAGGGUGGGGCGUACGCAGAUCUUACCUCUAUUUUUGAUGUUGUUUCCGGUAGAUCCUCAGCUAAAAAAAAGCAUUUUUAAGAACAGGUUUGAUAAAUACAAGAGUAAAAAGGCUAUGCUGAAAAUCAUUGUAUUCGUUCUUCAUGUGUACUAUGUUCUCUUCUUUGAACUACAAUAUCAAAGUAGUUGUUCUCUGUGAAUGUCUGGAUUAUUGAUUAAUCUUAAUAAACCGUUAAAUGACUAGAAGCCAAAAAAUUUCAGUUGAUUAAAAUGAAACUGAAAAAAUUGUUUAAGUAGGACAAACAAAAAUAUGGAUGAAGUACAUAUUGUUUCUAAAUAUUUUGGUUAGCCUAAUUUAGAGAGUAGCAUUGAGAAUCACUCUCUUCUGGCAGCUGAAAGCUGGUUACAACUGUAUGAUUUUUUCUUUUGCAAUUUGUGACAAUUUACUUUGGUAAAUGACAGACCAUUGUUAAAUGAAAGUGUUGAUAUGUUACUAUUUGAAACUGAAUAUGAUGAGGCAUAUAAUCUUUUGAAUUUUAGUCUUUAGUUUACUCAGACAUCUGUAAUUGGUUUCUUUAUCUUCAUGAUAUAUUUGCAUCAAAUUGGUAACUCAGUAAUUUAAUUUCAAGGGCUUGCUGAAUACUUGCAGAAAUGUUCACGUGUUAUGUCUAGAUUAAGUUCAAAAAUACCGUGGAGUCAAACUGUACAAAUGUGCAUGAUGGGAGGUCCGAAAAGGGCAGUAGCUUGGAAAGAAGUGAGAUAUCACUUAUCCCUCCCUAUAGCUUAUACAUAUCCUAUAUUAUCUUUUGUUUUUAUUUUUAUUGCAGCUUUGAAACUUUCUUCGAAUGGUAUUGCUAAUGAAAUGCGGCUUUCAUUUCAUGGAAUAGUAACACAAUAAGAUUUUCCCAUUCAAUGUCAUUUGGCAAUGAUGAUGAAUCAUGGAGGUAACUUCACGGUUGAACAGUUUGUCAGGCUUCAUUGUGAAGACAUAUUGCAAGUUCAUUACUUUAUCCUCUCCUCGGGAUCCAGUUUCAAAAUGUACAGAGGUUGUUGAUGUACUUAAGCCGAAACUAUGAUGAAUUUAUUUAUCAUGCAAACUUAAAAAAGCAAGAAGCCUAAGUUCAUUUGUGAAAAUAUUCAUUGUGUAUCAUUUGAGUUGAAUAACUUGUAUUAUAUGAAGACAAAUAACUAUCGGAAGAACCAAUGAAGUUACUACUAUGAUACAAUGUUAUGUUAAGAAAUUUCAGCAGAAGCUUGUGAUAUUUUUUACUUCUGACUGUAAGUUCUUAUUUCCUAUUUCUUGUUGCUUCAGUAAGUAGUAAACUAUAUAUAUAC